rnacentral:rRNA from 1 species
UAGGGAAUCUUCCACAAUGGGCGAAAGCCUGAUGGAGCAACGCCGCGUGUGUGAUGAAGGCUUUGGUCGUAAAGCACUGUUGUAUGGGAAGAACAGCUAGAAUAGGAAAUGAUUUUAGUUUGACGGUACCAUACCAGAAAGGGACGGCUAAAUACGUGCCAC